rnacentral:rRNA from 1 species
UAAAGUGGCGUACGGGUGAGUAACACGUGGAUCAUCUACCUUCUAGUGGGGAAUACCGUUGGGAAACCGACGACAAUACCGCAUAAGCUCGAGAGAGGAAAGCAGCAAUGCGCUGGAAGAGGAGUCCGCGGUCGAUUAGUUAGUUGGCAGGGUAAAGGCCUACCAAGACUGUGAUCGAUAGCCGGCCUGAGAGGGCACACGGCCACACUGGCACUGAAACACGGGCCAG